UUCUAUUAUCAGUCACGAUCCACACGAAGUGUCAAAGUUAAGUCUUGGUGGUCUUCUGUAUAUGGUCUUCCAUAUCCAACACGGCGAUAACUUCAGUGUGCACUAUUUGUCACAACUGCUUUCUGCAUAGUAUUAAUCAGUUUUUAACGUUUGUUUAAAAGUCUUCAAACUGUGAUCACUCAUCAUUUUAUUCUUCAUAAGUCCCGCAGUCCCGUGUCUCAAAAUGCCAAAAAAGUCUGCAGCCAACAUGAGCAUUGAGGACAUAGUUAAUGGUAUCAACAGUCGUGAUGAAAACAAGGAGUUAACUGCAACCAAAGCUGUUUGGAAAUCAAUCAAAGUUGAAAUGACGAGCCACUUCAUCAUUACCAAUACCAAUCUAUUUGUUAUUCCCAAGCUGAUUGAAUUUCUCAGUCGUGUCAACAACUCUGCUCUUCAGUCAGCGUCCAUCAGAGCUCUCGCCGAAAUUGGGGGUGCCAAUGCUGAUCUGACCAAAGCUGUCGUGAGUGCUGGGGCUAUAACCAAAUUCAUUUAUUUAUUAGAUUCACCUCAUCCGGCUGUUGUAAAGAGAGCUGGCUCUGAACUCUCUGUAAUGGCUUCUUAUAUUCAAGAGUUACGGGAAGAAAUCAUCGAGUCGUUGCUUACGUUGAUUCAGCCCGACACGUCAGUUAAAUUAUUGCGCUCCGUAACCUAUACUUUGGAGAACAUUUGUCUUAAUAUAAUUGACAGUCCACCCGCCGUCCUUCUUCCCGCCCUGGCCCACCUCAUCAACAGCAACGAUGAACAAAUUAUCGUUCUAGCUUGCAAGGCUCUUAUGCACAUCUUAAAACGAUUUCAACAAGUUCAUCAAGUUGUCGACGCCGGAGUCGUCCCUCGGCUCGUUGAGCUGUUAGGGUACAACAAAGUGGCCGUCAUCAUCCCCACUCUGGAGUCAAUCCGCAAGAUCGUUAAUGGCGAUGUUGUUCAAACCAAAUCCGUCCUGGCUGCUGGUGCCUUCACGUUUCUGGGCAAGUUGCUUGUUCAUCCCAACAGGGUUGUCGUCCAGUUGGCGGCUAAAUUAGUUGCCGCCAUUCAUAUUCAAUUCGCUGCCUAAUCUGAAGCGUGUUUGUGUCGACAAUUUUACUAUAACUGAGAUUAAAGAAGUCAAAGAAAUUUUCCAAUGAAGUUUUCAAGUUGGCGCCAUCGACAUCGUAGAGUGGCAAUUAAGAAUUCAACAUCCAGUCAUCUAUUCCUAGCCCGCCGAAGAGGGUUUCUCAUUCUUAAUGUUUUAAUCUAAAAUUCUUCUAUCUGCCUUUACAACGGUCGAUGUAUAUUUUCUUCAUUUCACGCUAUCCUAAUCAUGAGUUUACCAUUUCUUUAAUAUUUUCUUUGUAAAAUUGUGUUUAAUUGAAAGUUUCCAUUUGCCUUUCAUUUAUGUCUAUGCACGACAGGCUGUAUUGUUGUUUAGACUGUAUUGUUGUCGAAUGCUACACCAAAGCGCCCAAAUACUGCACUGCAACCUACGCUACCCCAGCUUACACCACCCGACACCACCAAGGCACCGGAGUACUCCACCCCAACUUAGGCUCCACCUAGCCAAACCUAGCCACUACACCGUAGCCCCCAAAUACUAAACCGACAAGGCCGAAUAUCACACAACCACGUUUGCUGCUCCAGUCUACUACACAGAGGAAUCUAUGUAUUACUCUGCCCCAAGCUUCAAGCUAGGUGUUUACUGCAUCACCCAUGCCCAGGAGUUUUACACUAUAACCUACGCUGCCCCCAGCUACUACACUGAGGCUCCCACCAUAUCACUGCAUACGCUGCUCCGACCUACUACACCGGAGCCCCGAAGCACUACUCUCCACCUAGUCACUACAUAAUUAAUAAGGCAAUCCCCAAUUUUACUACAAAGACCUAAUUACUAGAGCCAAAAUUUCUAUUUUAUUUAAUUAUGUUUAAAUGUGGCGGUUAUAAUCACUGGGAAUGGAUUGUUAAUCUAUUAUGAAAAAAUAAAUAUUUUUAUAUUUUAAA